AAAGCUUUAAGUUAAAUAAACUAUUAACCUUCAAAGUUAAAAUUAAAAAUGUAUUUUUUAAGCUUUA
rnacentral:tRNA from 1 species